UCCUGGCUCAGAGUGAACGCUGGCGGCAGGCCUAAUACAUGCAAGUCGAACGGCAGCACAGCAGAGCUUGCUCUGUGGGUGGCGAGUGGCGGACGGGUGAGGAAUACGUGGGAAUCUGCCCAGUCGUGGGGGGAUAACGUAGGGAAACUUACGCUAAUACCGCAUGCGCCCUUCGGGGGAAAGCCGGGGACCUUCGGGCCUGGCGCGAUUGGAUGAGCCCACGUCGGAUUAGCUAGUUGGCGGGGUAAAGGCCCACCAAGGCGACGAUCCGUAGCUGGUCUGAGAGGAUGAUCAGCCACACUGGAACUGAGACACGGUCCGGACUCCUACGGGAGGCAGCAGUAGGGAAUAUUGGACAAUGGGCGCAAGCCUGAUCCAGCCAUGCCGCGUGAGUGAAGAAGGCCCUCGGGUUGUAAAGCUCUUUCGUCCGGAAAGAAAAGCGCCGGGUUAAUACCCUGGUGUCCUGACGGUACCGGAAGAAUAAGCACCGGCUAACUUCGUG
rnacentral:rRNA from 1 species